AGCGAAAGCGACCGUACCUCCCUUCUAAGGAGGUGGUCGAAGGUUCGAAUCCUUC
rnacentral:tRNA from 1 species